rnacentral:rRNA from 1 species
GUAAACAAGGUUUCCGUAGGUGAACCUGCGGAAGGAUCAUUAUCGAGUUUUGACUGGGUUGUAGCUGGCCUUCCGAGGCAUGUGCACGCCCUGCUCAUCCACUCUACACCUGUGCACUUACUGUGGGUUUCAGACGGUGUAGCGAGGCUCUUUACGAGGAGCUUCGUGAAAGCGUGUCUGUGCCUGCGUUUAUUACAAACUCUUUACAAGUAUUAGAAUGUGUAUUGCGAUGUAACGCAUCUAUAUACAACUUUCAGCAACGGAUCUCUUGGCUCUCGCAUCGAUGAAGAACGCAGCGAAAUGCGAUAAGUAAUGUGAAUUGCAGAAUUCAGUGAAUCAUCGAAUCUUUGAACGCACCUUGCGCUCCUUGGUAUUCCGAGGAGCAUGCCUGUUUGAGUGUCAUGAAAUCUUCAACCUGUAAGCUUUUAAUCGGGUUUGUAGGCUUGGACUUGGAGGCUAUUGUCGGCCUUUAUUGGUCGGCUCCUCUUAAAUGCAUUAGCUUGGUUCCUUGUGGAUCGGCUUGUCGGUGUGAUAAUUGUCUACGCCGCGACUGUGAAGCGUUUGGGCGAGGCUUCUAAUCGUCUCACUUUAUGAGACAGCACUUAUGACCUCUGACCUCAAAUCAGGUAGGACUACCCGCUGAACUUAAGCAUAUCAAUAAGCGGAGGAAAAGAA